rnacentral:misc_RNA from 1 species
GAUGAAGAACGUAGCGAAAUGCGAUAAGUAAUGUGAAUUGCAGAAUUCAGUGAAUCAUCGAAUCUUUGAACGCACCUUGCGCUCUUUGGUAUUCCGAAGAGCAUGCCCGUUUGAGUGUCAUGAAAAUAUCAACCUUGACUUGGGUUUUGUGCUCUAGUCUCGGCUUGGAAUUGGGUGCUUGCCGCUUUUACGAGCGGCUCACCUUAAAUGUAUUAGCUGGAUCUGUCUUUGAGACUUGGUUUGACUUGGCGUAAUAAGUAUUUCGCUAAGGACAUUCUUCGGAGUGGCCUCGUUUCUAGGACGCUUGUCCGCUUUCCAAUACAAGUUCCACCUCGUGGACAUGACUUUUUAUUAUCUGGCCUCAAAUCAGGUAGGACUACCCGCUGAACUUAAGCAUAUCAAUAAGCGGAGGA